AUUCCAGCUCCAAUAGUGUAUAUUAAAGUUGUUGCAGUUAAAAAGCUCGUAGUUGGAUUUCUGGCGGGAGCGAUCGGUCCUUCACUCAGUGUUGGAACCUGAUUGUCUCCUGCCAUCCAUGGAGAAAACUUAUCUGGCAUUAAGUUGUCGGGUAGGCAAUCUCCAUCUUUUACUGUGAAAAAAUUAGAGUGUUCAAAGCAGGCUUAUGCCGUUGAAUAUAUUAGCAUGGAAUAAUGAGAUAGGACUUUGGCGGUCUAUUUUGUUGGUUUGCACGCCGAAGUAAUGAUUAAAAGGGACGGUUGGGGUUCUUCGUAUUCAAUUGUCAGAGGUGAAAUUCUUGGAUUUAUGGAAGACGAACUGCUGCGAAAGCGUCGAACAAGGACGUUCUCAUUG
rnacentral:rRNA from 1 species